GAUGAACGCUGGCGGCGUGCCUAAUACAUGCAAGUCGAGCGAACGGACGAGAAGCUUGCUUCUCUGAUGUUAGCGGCGGACGGGUGAGUAACACGUGGAUAACCUACCUAUAAGACUGGGAUAACUUCGGGAAACCGGAGCUAAUACCGGAUAAUAUUUUGAACCGCAUGGUUCAAAAGUGAAAGACGGUCUUGCUGUCACUUAUAGAUGGAUCCGCGCUGCAUUAGCUAGUUGGUAAGGUAACGGCUUACCAAGGCAACGAUGCAUAGCCGACCUGAGAGGGUGAUCGGCCACACUGGAACUGAGACACGGUCCAGACUCCUACGGGAGGCAGCAGUAGGGAAUCUUCCGCAAUGGGCGAAAGCCUGACGGAGCAACGCCGCGUGAGUGAUGAAGGUCUUCGGAUUGUAAAACUCUGUUAUUAGGGAAGAACAUAUGUGUAAGUAACUGUGCACAUCUUGACGGUACCUAAUCAGAAAGCCACGGCUAACUACGUGCCAGCAGCCGCGGUAAUACGUAGGUGGCAAGCGUUAUCCGGAAUUAUUGGGCGUAAAGCGCGCGUAGGCGGUUUUUUAAGUCUGAUGUGAAAGCCCACGGCUCAACCGUGGAGGGUCAUUGGAAACUGGAAAACUUGAGUGCAGAAGAGGAAAGUGGAAUUCCAUGUGUAGCGGUGAAAUGCGCAGAGAUAUGGAGGAACACCAGUGGCGAAGGCGACUUUCUGGUCUGUAACUGACGCUGAUGUGCGAAAGCGUGGGGAUCAAACAGGAUUAGAUACCCUGGUAGUCCACGCCGUAAACGAUGAGUGCUAAGUGUUAGGGGGUUUCCGCCCCUUAGUGCUGCAGCUAACGCAUUAAGCACUCCGCCUGGGGAGUACGACCGCAAGGUUGAAACUCAAAGGAAUUGACGGGGACCCGCACAAGCGGUGGAGCAUGUGGUUUAAUUCGAAGCAACGCGAAGAACCUUACCAAAUCUUGACAUCCUUUGACAACUCUAGAGAUAGAGCUUUCCCCUUCGGGGGACAAAGUGACAGGUGGCGCAUGGUUGUCGUCAGCUCGUGUCGUGAGAUGUUGGGUUAAGUCCCGCAACGAGCGCAACCCUUAAGCUUAGUUGCCAUCAUUAAGUUGGGCACUCUAAGUUGACUGCCGGUGACAAACCGGAGGAAGGUGGGGAUGACGUCAAAUCAUCAUGCCCCUUAUGAUUUGGGCUACACACGUGCUACAAUGGGCAAUACAAAGGGCAGCGAAACCGUGAGGUCAAGCAAAUCCCAUAAAGUUGUUCUCAGUUCGGAUUGUAGUCUGCAACUCGACUACAUGAAGCUGGAAUCGCUAGUAAUCGUAGAUCAGCAUGCUACGGUGAAUACGUUCCCGGGUCU
rnacentral:rRNA from 1 species